rnacentral:rRNA from 1 species
UGCCAGCCUCCGCGGUCAUACUGAAGGUUCCCGCGUUAAUCGGAAUCACUGGGCGUAAAGCGCUCGUAGGUGGCUUUGUAAGUCAGAUGUGAAAGCCCACGGCUCAACCGGGGAAUUGCAUUUGAUACUGCAUCGCUAGAGUAUAGGAGAGGGAAGUGGAAUUUCUGGUGUAGGAGUGAAAUCCGUAGAGAUCAGAAGGAACACCGGUGGCGAAGGCGACUUCCUGGACUAUUACUGACGCUGAGGAGAGAAAGCGGGGGGGGCAAACAGGAUGAGAUA